CGCCUAAACCCCGACGUGUCGGGGCAUGGUGUAUAAGACUCAUCGAAGAAACUGAACCCUGCGUUCAGCGUCUCUUCGAUGAGCCAUAUUCCGAAAGGAGUAUGGGGCUUUCAAAAGCCC
rnacentral:sRNA from 12 species